rnacentral:tRNA from 1 species
GUCUGUGUAGCGCAAGCGGCUAGCGCGUUCGGCUGUUAGCUAAAACGUUGGUGGUUCGAGUCCACCCAGAGACG